rnacentral:pre_miRNA from 1 species
UGUUAAAAAUUUUCAUCCAUUUGUACAGUUAAAAACUAGCAUAGCUGACAAAAUAACCAAACAGUGACACGUGGCAUGCAACGUGUGCCUCAUGUUACAUGGACCAAUUUUUGACAAUAGAAAUAGAUGAAACUUUUAAUA